rnacentral:tRNA from 2 species
GCCCGGGUGGCGGAAUUGGUAGACGCACAGGACUUAAAAUCCUGCGGCCGUUGAGGCUGUACCGGUUCGAUUCCGGUCCCGGGCA